rnacentral:sRNA from 1 species
GAACAUGCUUCCCCAACCAUCCCCAACACCAUCUGGCAAGCUGUCUGUACCCGAUGUACCGCAUGCGCCUGAAAAUAAUUUUUAUGUUUAAAUAUUCAUCAAUGCUUUUCUGAUAUCAUUGUUACUUAUUGCAGAGUAGUUUGUUUUUUUUCAAAUGAUUUUUGAUUUUCUCUUACUGAGAAAUAAAGAUGAAAUACUGUUAUAUAUAUUAAUGAAAAGUUAUAAUCGUGGAAGAUAUAACAUGUUACUAUUGCUACAUUCAUAAAUGUAUCUAAUUAAAUUGUUUUCAUAAAGCU